rnacentral:rRNA from 1 species
UACAGAGGGUGCGAGCGUUAAUCGGAAUUACUGGGCGUAAAGCGCGCGUAGGCGGCUUUGCAAGUCGGGUGUGAAAUCCCCAGGCUCAACCUGGGAACUGCAUUCGAGACUGCAUUGCUAGAGUAUGGGAGAGGGAUGUAGAAUUCCAGGUGUAGCGGUGAAAUGCGUAGAUAUCUGGAGGGAUACCGGUGGCGAAGGCGGCAUCCUGGACCAUUACUGACGCUGAGGCGCGAAAGCUAGGGGAGCAAACGGG